UCAAAGACAGCGCUGCCUCGAAAGUGUGGAUUUCAAGACCUUUCCCAGGUUUUAUUUGGCACUGAAUGGAGAUUCGAUGGUUUUGAUUUCAUGAUGACAAAGCUGAUCUGAAGUCUCCUUUCUCUUUUGGACAGAAGCUGAAUGAUCACAAAUGUGCAUGUCAUUCAUGUCCAAGAAAAAACAAGAUUGACGUGUCGUGAGAAACACUUCACAGUGCCAGAGUGUCUUUUAUCAGCCUUCGCAUGGUGGUGCUCACAGACGUACCCAGAGAGUCCGUAAUCUGGUACGUGAUUUUAUACAGAUAAGGCUGGACUUCUCUCAAACUGGUGUCAAACACAUUGUCCACUUCGGACUGAGUGGGCAUCUUGGGCAGAUACUCGUGACGAUUGAUGACCUCGACGACGUUGAUCACCUUCUCGCCGAGUUUUUCUCCCACUUUCUCCCUGCAGAUCUGCCUCUCCUGCUCGUUCGCCAGGUUGACGACAUUGACUUUGAUGCUCCACACCUCCCAGGGGAUACAUUCGUCCGAAAAAGGCCAGCGAGAUUUCUUCUUCUGGUAGAAUUCCAGGGAUAUUUGACCGAUGCCGUCACUUCCCGAGACGCUUAAAGCAUCCUGUAAACAAAAAUGUUGACAUUGGUUAAAUGACUGCUGUUAGAAAAAUAACCUGACUUUUACCUUGAAUUCAGUCACUGCUUUUUUGAUCACCCUAUCAAGCUCAUCCGAGGAAACUCUGACAAAAGUGAAGUCGAUGAAGUCGCAGUCGAUGUCAACGGUCCCAACUGUACCGAUAGAGUAGGUGCCCUCUUUUUUAUAGUGAAAUUUUCCAGUGCUGCGGUGUAGUAAAAUAGUGUGCAGCAAUGACAGAAUUGAUUCUUCAACCUGCCUCGCCUCCACUGUAACUUCAAGAAGCUCCGAUCGACAAUUCAUUGCCAAAUCGGUUUUUACAACCUACAUGCAGUGAGAAAUUGCAGUGUUGGCGUCUGUUUACAAAAAGAAUUAGCUUUAGCUCACUGCUACACCUGUAUUUUUUACCGUGACAGGUACACAGGACAGAUGAUAUUAAAAGAAUUAUACGAUGAGACGUCCUUUUCGUAUGUGUAGAUAUUUCCGACUGGAAUAAAAUGUGUCCAGGACUCUUGUUCUAACGACGAACUACCGAGCUAGAUUGUUUGCGUUAAGACCAGAAGCUGUGUUGUUGACGUCAGCGGUUCGUUCUACGGCAAGCCACGUCGUUCAAAAUAUAGAUAUCAUGUAUAUUAUGCUAGUUAUUCAAAUGUGCGCUGUGAGCCAAUUAAGACACGCAUCGUCACUUGUCGGCCAUUUUGCCUCGGGGUCAUUCGAUAACAUAAGUCAAUGGUGCGUACACUUUAAUUAAUUAUCAAAAAUAGUCACUUGCUCUAUAAAGGGUGAAAAAAUGUUACAUUUUAUCUAAAGUAACGUAAUUACCUUAAAAACCUAUUUUCUCUUUCCAUCAUUAUGCUGCCAGCCCCCAAAUACCAAGUAAUAAAUGUACAAAAAAACUCUCAUAUAAAAUAAUAAUCUAUUGUAUAAUUGGUUGCUAGAUUUGCUUUUUGGCAAAAAACAACAUUAAAAAGUCAGUUUAUUUUUUUCAAUUAUUUGCAAUAAAAAAGUUUUUUAAAAAAAAACAACAAUCAAUAAAAAUCGAAUGUAUCGCUCAGGUCUGUGCUGAUUGGCCUCUACUGUAUCUUGAGGUGUGUGUGGGACUUGUUAAGCUGUUACUUUUUGACCCAGUCCAGUGUGACUCAAGUUGUCAACUAGACAUGUGCCGAUUACCGGUUUCAAGAUAUACAGUGGUAUGAAAACAUCAAGGUUUCAAACCACAAAAAUUUUCCGUGAUACCGACCUUAAGGUAUUAGCUAUUUUUUAUGUCCCAAAAAUGCAUGGAGAAAUCCCUCGCUUGCAGCUGGGUUGCUCAGUGUCAAUGAGUCAGCUGUGCUACACAAUGGCUGGAAGAAGUAAAACUCCUGAACUUUUUCCUCUAUCAAACGAAAUCGCUGUUCUGGGAAUACUUCAGCUAUACAAAAGUUAAACACGUCUGCGGCUUAGAGGAGGACCAACCGACAUGUAAGACAUGUUUGUGGAGGGUGGCUGCUAAGGAGGCAAUACCUCCAAUAUGAUUUCGCAUUUAAACAAAAUUAAAGGUUAGUAAACACUGUCAUGAACGUUUCCCACAUGCUACGAGAGUUAACUCCAGCGUGUUUAGUGUGUCCAGCGGUGGUAAAACGUGUUGUAGUUUUUUUCUCUCGGGCUACUGUUUGUGUUGAGAAAGAGAGUAUGUGCAUAAUGUAAACAUGAUACGAGUCAUACACACGUGCUUUUUAUGGAAAAUAAAUCAAUUAUU